UGGCGACCGGCGCACGGGUGAGUAACACGUAUCCAACCUGCCGAUGACUCGGAGAUAGCCUUUCGAAAGAAAGAUUAAUACCCGAUGGCAUAGUUCUUCCGCAUGGUGGAACUAUUAAAGAAUUUCGGUCAUCGAUGGGGAUGCGUUCCAUUAGGUUGUUGGCGGGGUAACGGCCCACCAAGCCUUCGAUGGAUAGGGGUUCUGAGAGGAAGGUCCCCCACAUUGGAACUGAGACACGGUCCAA
rnacentral:rRNA from 1 species